GAUGAACGCUGGCGGCGUGCCUAACACAUGCAAGUCGAGCGAACGGACGCUAAGCUUGCUUUUUUGAUGUUAGCGGCGGACGGGUGAGUAACACGUGGAUCACAUACCUAUAUUUCUGGGAUAACUACGGGAAACAGGUGCUACUACCAGAUAAUAUUCUGAACCGCAUGGUUCAAAAGUGAAUGACGGUCUUGCUGUCUGUAAUAGCUGGAUCCGCGCUGGAUUAGCUAGUUGGUAAGGUAACGUCUUACCAAGGCGACGAUGCAUAGCCGACCGGAGAGGGUGAUAGGCCACACUGGAAGUGAAACACGGUCCAGACGCCGACGGGAGGCAGCAGUAGGGAAUCUUCGGCAAUGGGCGCAAUCCUGACAGAGCAACGCCGCGUGAGUGAUGAAGGUCUUCGGAGCGUAAAGCCCUUUUAUUGGGGAAGAACAGCUGUGUAAGGAACUGCGCCCAUACUGACGGUACCUGAUCAAAAAGCCCCGGCUAACUACGUG
rnacentral:rRNA from 1 species